rnacentral:rRNA from 1 species
GACGAACGCUGGCGGCGUGCCUAAUACAUGCAAGUAGAACGCUGAAGGAGGAGCUUGCUCUUCUGGAUGAGUUGCGAACGGGUGAGUAACGCGUAGGUAACCUGCCUGGUAGCGGGGGAUAACUAUUGGAAACGAUAGCUAAUACCGCAUAACAUUGACUAUUGCAUGAUAGUCAAUUGAAAGGUGCAAUUGCACCACUACCAGAUGGACCUGCGUUGUAUUAGCUAGUUGGUGGGGUAACGGCUCACCAAGGCGACGAUACAUAGCCGACCUGAGAGGGUGAUCGGCCACACUGGGACUGAGACACGGCCCAGACUCCUACGGGAGGCAGCAGUAGGGAAUCUUCGGCAAUGGACGGAAGUCUGACCGAGCAACGCCGCGUGAGUGAAGAAGGUUUUCGGAUCGUAAAGCUCUGUUGUAAGAGAAGAACGAGUGUGAGAGUGGAAAGUUCACACCU